GCAAUCCUCCCCUUUUCUCUCUCAAAAUUUCAUCAUCCUCUCUUCAAGUCAAGAAGUCGUGAUCAAGCUCCAUCAACAUCUCCUUGCCGUGGUCCUCAUCUUGCCUCCACCACAUUUGAAGCUUUCUUGCGUUCUUGAGAUCUUCAAAAGUGAGCACCCUCAAUCCCCGGAUAGAACGAUCUCUACUUGCUAUAUACUAACAACUGUCAACAGGGUUAAUUUUGAGAACUCAUUUCGAGCUCAUCAAGCAACCCACUAGAAGGCCGAAGAGAAAGAUUGUCUAUGCCAAACCCUGUAGCAAGUCAUAACUUGGUCUUCAAAGCAUGA
rnacentral:lncRNA from 1 species